GCCAUGGCCCAGGUGAGACGCCCGGUCCCAUUCCGAACCCGGAAGCUAAGGCCUGGCACGGCGAUGGUACUGCACCCGACAGGGUGUGGGAGAGUAGCACGCCGCCGCAU
rnacentral:rRNA from 1 species